GAUGAAGAACGCAGCGAAAUGCGAUAAGUAGUGUGAAUUGCAGAAUUCAGUGAAUCAUCGAAUCUUUGAACGCACAUUGCGCCCCUCGGUAUUCCGUGGGGCAUGCCUGUUCGAGCGUCAUUUACCCCUCAAGCACUGCUUGGUGUUGGGCGUCUGUCCCGCUUCGCGCGCGGACUCGCCCCAAAGGUAUUAGCAGCGGUCGUGCCAGCUUCUCGCGCAGCACAUUGCGCUUCUCGAGGCGGUCGAUCGGCGUCCACGAAGCUCACCUCCACCGUUUGACCUCGGAUCAGGUAGGGAUACCCGCUGAACUUAAGCAUAUCAAUAAGCGGAGGA
rnacentral:misc_RNA from 1 species